GAAGAAGUACCGACUUCUUCAAUCCAACCAUUCUCCAAAAAACAACGAGUUUCACAACAUAGUUGUCAGUUUGAUCGCAUGCAUUGCAACGCACACAUAAUAAAUUUAUAGUAAUACCAUAUUUGGUCAUGGAAACGAGUAUACUUCAGUGAAAGGAAUGGAAAAUCAUGCAAGUCCACAGAUUACAGCUUUUACAUUUUGAACCAUCCCUU
rnacentral:misc_RNA from 1 species